rnacentral:rRNA from 1 species
AGUCUGGUGCCAGCAGCCGCGGUAAUUCCAGCUCCAAUAGCGUAUAUUUUUUCUGUUGCAGUUUAAAAGCUCGUAGUUGGAUCUCGGGGCUCGGGCGUUUGGUCCGCCGGAACGGUGUGUACUGAGCGGCCGGUCUCAUACCUACUGGGUAUCCGCUUCUGCUCUUAAUUGAGUGGGGGUUCAUGGCUUCGGUUGUGGCGGCUGGCGUUCAGUUUCGGCUGGGCGUUAGUUGGGGUUCCAGUUCGUUUACUGUGAGUAAAUUAGAGUGUUUCAAGCAGCUCCUUGGAGCGUUGUAUACAAUUAGCAUGGGAUAAUAGAAUAGGACUUUGGUUCUAUUUUGUUGGUUUCUAGGACCAGAGUAAUGAUUAACAGGGAUAGUUGGGGGCAUUUGUAUUUUGUUGUCAGAGGUGAAAUUCUUGGAUUUACAAAAGACAAACUUCUGCGAAAGCAUUUGCCAAGGAUGUUUUCAUUAAUCAAGAACGAAAGUUAGGGGAUCGAAGACGAUCAGAUACCGUCGUAGUCUUGACCAUAAACUAUGCCGACCAGGGAUCAGAGGACGUUAAAUGGAUGACUCCUUUGGCACCUUGUGAGAAAUCACAAGUCUUUGGGUUCUGGGGGGAGUAUGGUCGCAAGGCUGAAACUUAAAGGAAUUGACGGAGGGGCACCACCAGGUGUGGAGCCUGCGGCUUAAUUUGACCCAACACGGGAAAACUUACCAGGUCCAGACAUAGUAAGGAUUGACAGAUUGAGAGCUCUUUCAUGAUUCUAUGGGUGGUGGUGCAUGGCCGUUCUUAGUUGGUGGAGUGAUUUGUCUGGUUAAUUCCGAUAACGAACGAGACCUCAACCUACUAAAUAGUUAUGCAGACUCUUCUACUCAAGAGCGUCGGUGGGGUGGGCAAGUCUUCGGAUGAGCUUAUUCUGUCCGGACUCCGGAUUAGUCUGUAGCGAACUUCUUAGAGGGACUAUCUGUGUUAAGCAGAUGGAAGUUUGAGGCAAAAACAGGUCUGUGAUGCCCUUAGAUGUUCUGGGCUGCACGCGCGCUACACUGACGGAUGCAACGAGUUUAUUUACUUGGCCGAUAGGUCUGGUUAAUCUUUUGAACGUCCGUCGUGCUGGGGAUAGAUGAUUGGAAUUAUUCAUCUUCAACGAGGAAUACCUAGUAAGCGCAAGUCAUCGGCUUGCGUUGAUUACGUCCCUGCCCCUUGUACACACCGCCCGUCGCUGCUACUGAUGGAUGGUUCGGUGAACUUGUCAGAUCGUGACGAAAUGCUAGUGCUUCGGUGCUAGUAUCGUCGUGAGAAGUCAAGUAAAUCGGAUUAUCUAGAGGAAGCAAAAGUC